GUGAGUUGAGUUUGCAUUUCGUCAGUUCUUGGGCUUCCGUGGCUUGUGAUUCCUAGUUCUUGGUCAUUUAAGCGACGAGAUUGAUAGAGGUCAAUUUCAAGGUAUAGAUAAUACGUUGCAGGAGUCAGGUAAGCGGGGUUCCUAUGCUAGGUCUUACA